UACAGAGGGGGCAAGCGUUAUUCGGAAUUAUUGGGCGUAAAGGGCGCGUAGGCGGUCUGACAAGUGGAAGGUGAAAUCCCCUGGCUCAACUGGGGAACUGCGCUGGAUACUGGUGGACUCGAGUACCGGAGAGGAGAGUGGAAUUCCUGGUGUAGCGGUGAAAUGCGUAGAUAUCAGGAGGAACACCGGUGGCGAAGGCGGCUCUCUGGACGGAUACUGACGCUGAGGCGCGAAAGCUAGGGGAGCAAACGGG
rnacentral:rRNA from 1 species